UACGAAGGGGGCUAGCGUUGCUCGGAAUCACUGGGCGUAAAGCGCACGUAGGCGGCUUUCUAAGUCAGGGGUGAAAUCCUGGAGCUCAACUCCAGAACUGCCUUUGAUACUGGAGAGCUCGAGUCCGGAAGAGGUGAGUGGAACUGCGAGUGUAGAGGUGAAAUUCGUAGAUAUUCGCAAGAACACCAGUGGCGAAGGCGGCUCACUGGUCCGGUACUGACGCUGAGGUGCGAAAGCGUGGGGAGCAACAGGG
rnacentral:rRNA from 1 species